AGACAUGGAUGAGCUGCUCGCGUGGAUCAACAACGAAGAGAGACCCAGCACCAGCAGUCUUGCUGACGAUCUGCAAAUUGACCAUUUCCUCACCUGGAUUGAUGAAGCGGCGAGUGCUCUGGACAGCUGCAAAAGGGAAGAGCU